rnacentral:rRNA from 1 species
AUUGGUGAUGAUGAUACAAAGGUAACACCCCUUCCCAUUUCGAACAGGACGGUUAAGCUUUGAGAUGCCGAUGGUACUGCACGGGAGACUGUGUGGGAGAGUAGGGAAUCGCCAAUU